UUAACCAAGCCAUAUAUCAAAAGUUCUUUGGUUCUGUGCUCUGUAUUCAUUGCUCAAACACAAGAACUCAUAUAUUCAUAAACAAAGCCUACAAUGGAAAAAUCACUUCACAUACGGAGUUUCAUUUUGCAUUCUCUCACAAAUCUCAAAGGAAGAAGAUUUCUUUUCUUAACGUUAGAGGUUAUUCUAGCGAUGGAACUAUUUGCCCUAUUGGUGAUUCCUUUGUCUCUUCCAAAGCUUCCGUCUGAGAUCAUACAAAUUAUGAUUCACAAAGUUCUGAAAUCGGAUGCAUCCCCAACCUGUAUUUCAAAUCUUACUUUUGUGUGCAAGGAAUUCAGAAAAAUCAUACUUUCCCAGGGCAAUUAACACUUGCUGAACUUUGAAUUCAAAAUACAUAUGUUGCCCAACACCCAUCCUAGAUUUAUUGAUUUUAUAGAUAGGUUAGGUAGAGCAGGAAUUGACUGCAACAAUGAUUGUUGGGAUGCAUAAAAAAAAAUCGAUGGUAACGAGGAGGGGUUAGAACUCUUUAGAAAAGCUGCUCUUGCUAAUGUUGUCCGGGCAAGAUACAACUUUGGAAUAGCCAUGCUAAUGUUUGGAAAGUUUGAUAUCGGACGGAGAGUGUUGUGCAACGUAUGGGAGUUAGCAAAUGGUAGAAUCGCUAUGAUAGAAUGUCGAGGUGAUCUAUGAGCAAUGAUUGGACGGGUGAAUCUAACUAAAACACAUUCACAAUUGCUGUGUAAAAAAAGAGGAGAAACUCAUUGGUCUCUAAGAAACUUAGAUUCCGUUCAUGGCUUUAGAGAACUUCAUGUUACGUAUGAAUGAUGUAUA